GGACUUGGAGGGCCGCUGACGGUCGUGCUCAAGGAGGCCACGGGUCGACGGACGUCGCCGUCCUUCAAGGUGCAGGUCCUCGACGCCGGCAGGGAGGGGUGGAAGGAGACGGAUGACAUCGGCGACACCGCGCUGUUCGUUGCGGUGAACGGUUCGCUGUGCGUGUCGACGAGGGAGCACCCGCAGCUCAAGUCCGGCUGCAUCUACUACUACACCAAGGAUGAGGAUGAUCUGGGGCCGUGCAAGGAUGCACGCAAUGGCGUCAGGCUGUUCAGCCUCAAGGACCGCAGAACAGAGAAGAUCGAUGGCCUCGGAUGGCACCGGAGCUGGCCGCCCCCGGCAUGGUUCAUUCCUUCCAUCCCAUGA
rnacentral:rRNA from 1 species